AAGUGAGCACCUCCUGCGAUUCUGUACUUUUCACUAUGAUGGAAAUGUGAGAUACUUCGCGUGAGACUACUCGAUGAGGAGGUCUGUUACGUAAUACUUGCACCAUAUACACGAGGAAGCCAUUCCUGAUCGCCAGUGUAUACGUGCACUAGCUGUCCGCAUUCUCCACUGGGCCAGCACGAAACGCGAUCGAGUGGUCCUGCCCGUGAGCAAUCUCCUAACUCAUCUCUACUACUCCAUGUCUAUGGUCUCGAGAUUCUGUUGAGUGACGUCACUAAUGUCAGUGACAUCCGGCAGCGAAAACUCGAACUACGGCGUUAAUUUUGGAAUCCUUGUGGUCCUGAACAGAAAUAAACUUCGCUUCUAUUCAAGCCCAAAUUCACCGCUGAUAUUUCGCACGAAUCGCACGAAGAAAAAAAAUGAACGUAACGACGCCGGAAGCUGUUCCCUGGCGUGUGGUUAUGAAUGUUCAAGCAAUGUGAUAUUAUUUAUAAUAAUGAGUAUUGUCACUCCCAGCUUACUAGUACGGUUCGAACUAUCGUAAACUUGAAGCGUUUAAGAUAUAGUUGACGAUUUUGACUAAUUUCAGUCAUGAAGUUGGUGAAACCAAACUGGGUGACGCAUGAUGAUAAUCCGAUAUUUUCUGUGGACAUCCACCCCGAUGGAAAGAGAUUUGCAACGGGUGGGCAAGGUGGAGAUUCAGGGAGGGUAGUGAUAUGGAACAUGGAACCCGUUUGCAAUGAGUGUGCCGAGUUGGAUCAAAAUGUCCCCAAGAUGCUUUGUCAAUUGGAUAAUCAUUUAGCUUGUGUCAACUGUGUUCGAUGGAGCAGCAAUGGAUUAUUAGCUUCAGGAGGUGACGACAAGUUAAUCAUGAUAUGGAGGCUGUCGGGAGCCGGAGGUAGUACGGUCUUUGGUGGAAAAGCUAGCGUCGAAACGUGGCGUUGCAUAGCUACGUUGAGGUCACACGAAGGGGAUGUUCUAGACCUCGCAUGGGCUCCUCACAAUCCCUGGCUAGCCUCUGCCUCUGUAGAUAAUAGCGUGAUUGUAUGGGAUGCUUCUAAAUUUCCUACGAUAGUUGCAGUAAUUAAAGGCCACACAGGAUUAGUGAAAGGUAUUACGUGGGACCCGGUGGGAAAAUACUUAGCUUCUCAAUCCGACGACAAAACAUUAAGAGUUUGGCGUACAACGGACUGGGCAGAAGAAGCACUAAUAACGGAGCCAUUUGACGAAUGCGGUGGGACUACUCAUGUUUUGAGGUUAUCAUGGAGUCCUGAUGGCCAGUAUCUUGUGUCCGCCCAUGCUAUGAAUGGUGGAGGACCAACGGCUCAAAUAAUUGAAAGAGAUGGGUGGACUCAAGAUAAAGAUUUUGUCGGACAUAGAAAAGCCGUGACGUGCGUAAGAUUCAAUGGCAAUAUUCUGCAGAAAAAGGUACCAGGUGCAUCGAAGCCGCAACAGCAUUGUUGCGUAGCAAUAGGAUCGCGCGAUCGCUCCCUCUCGGUGUGGCUGACAUCCCUUAAACGACCACUGGUGGUAAUUCAUGAGUUGUUCACUCACUCGGUGUUAGAUGCUAGUUGGUCUUCGUGCGGUCUGAGACUGGCAGCAUGUUCUUGGGAUGGCUCCGUCGUAUUCAUCGAGUUCACUCAACAGGAAUUGGGCCAGCCUUUGGAUGCAGCAGAAUUGAGCACGGUACACGAGCGUUUAUAUGGAAAACCAUUGGCCCAGGGGGGAUCGUUAGUGAUGGAAGCCCCGGAGCUUCUGAACUUAAAACCACCGGUCCCACCGUCUCAACCACCGGUGAUCCAGCCAGUAAUUAAUUCCGCGCCUCCACCAUCCACGUCCAUUGCUCUAGCAAAGGGACCCAUUAACAAACAAAUAGAAACCAGAACUUCGGAUGGCAAAAGGAGAAUCACCCCGAUGUUCAUCCCACCUCCACCCGACACGAUGGAUACUGCUAUAGGCGGAGGAUUAGGUACACCCACGUUUACCAGUACGUCACAGUCGAAGAGUACAAUCGUCAUCGAGAAGCGAGACGACGUUGUCACGCCGAACGUGAGUACAGCGGUGAACUCGGCUUCUGCAACCGUACCGUCGACGAUACACACGUUGAAACGUCGGGAACAAUCUACGCCGAAGCCUCACCACUCCACCCAGAGUAAACGACCUAAAGUAGUGUCAGAGAGGAGCGGAAGUCACGUCGUACUUCCCUCGUUGAAGCCGUCCAGUUCCUUGUCUCAACAGGCAGGACAUUACGCCGUGACUGUAACGAACAGCCAAGGACUCGCCCAUUUGCAAGUGUUCCGAGGAACGGACACGGAAGCGACGUGGGAUAUGUAUCUGGGAUACAACGCCGUGGCUCUAGCCGCUUCACCGGCUGUUGUGGCGUUAGGAUUGGAAGACGGCAGUGUUCACAUAUUUCACCCUGCCAAGGGCUCGCGGCCUUCUCCUCCUCUAGCUCCUCCAGCUCCUCUGGCCAAGGUUCACGCGGUUGGAAACACGGUUAUGGUAGUUUCAUGUUGCGGUGCGAUACGUGUCUGGGAAAUUGGGAGUUCUUGUCGUCUCAUCGUGUCCACUUCGGCUAGUCACUUGGCAGCUCAUGGAGCGUCGUUGCUGUCGUGCACCCUUCACAACGGAAUGCCACAUCUGGCAUUCUCGAACGGACGAGCGUACAUCUACCACAAGGAAAUGGCCACGAUCCUGUCUGGCGGUGGUCCUCGCAAAUCGCUUUCAGCACCACUGGAUCGAGGACACCUCGGGGUCCCCUCUCUUCGUUGCAGGAGGGCCUGCGAAGGACGUCUGGAAGCUCUCUACCGAAUCCGAGGCUACCUCAUAGCGGUCCUAGCGUAGUUUCUUAUUUGGAGCAACAGCUUCUUGCCUCGAAAGCUCUUGGUAGCUCACAGGAAUACGUGCAUUGGCUCAUGGCAUUGGUGUCCUUUCUGCUCACCCAAGAUGGAUUAGAGAAACGCUUGAGGUUAAUACUCGAUGACUUAAUGGGUCCGAGUCAUGGAUGUGCUUCGAAAAGCACAUGGGAGUCUGCAAUCCUG
rnacentral:misc_RNA from 1 species